rnacentral:sRNA from 1 species
UGUUGGUAGCAUUCAAAACAACAUAGCAAGUUAAAAUAAGGCUUAGUCCGUAAGCAACUAUUCUAGUGGCACUGUCUCGGUGCUUUUUUU